AGAUGGCAUCGGGUCUUUUAUUCUGUGUGAUCCUCUGUUUGACCAGUGGACUGUGGACUGGAGCAAAUGCUCAAGGUCCAGAAGAAGGUGGAUGCCCUUCUCCAUGGAGACAGUUUCGUGACAGGUGCUACGUGGUCAGGUUAAGUGAAUUGGCAUGGGAUGAUGCACAGGCGGCCUGCGCUGCUGCGGGUGGGGAAUUGGCCAAAAUAGACACCGAAGCCGAAAGGGAC